AAAUCUUCAGUGUUCAGACUGCAUCACAGUGCUUCCGAUACAAGCGACAAAAAUCGAGUUAAAAGCAGAUUAAAGAAGUUUAUUACCCGAAGACCUUCCCUGAAAACUCUGCAAGAAAAAGGACUUAUUAAAGAUCAAAUUUUUGGCUCUCAUCUGCACAAAGUGUGUGAACGUGAAAAUUCCACAGUUCCGUGGUUUGUAAAGCAAUGCAUUGAAGCUGUUGAGAAAAGAGGUGGGUGACUGAAUGUGCAGCAGUUCCCCCAAUUACUGCGCCCUCUACACAACCAAUACUCAAGUUAGCAGUGCCACCUGAUUUGUCUGAGAAGCCAUGCAAUUAAAACUUGACUUGUGUU
rnacentral:sRNA from 1 species